rnacentral:rRNA from 1 species
UAGGGAAUCUUCGGCAAUGGGGGGAACCCUGACCGAGCAACGCCGCGUGAGUGAAGAAGGUUUUCGGAUCGUAAAGCUCUGUUGUUAAGGAAGAACGAGUGUGAGAAUGGAAAGUUCAUACUGUGACGGUACUUAACCAGAAAGGGACGGCUAACUACGUGCCAGCAGCCGCGGUAAUACGUAGGUCCCGAGCGUUGUCCGGAUUUAUUGGGCGUAAAGCGAGCGCAGGCGGUUAGAAAAGUCUGAAGUGAAAGGCAGUGGCUCAACCAUUGUAGGCUUUGGAAACCGUUUAACUUGAGUGCAGAAGGGGAGAGUGGAAUUCCAUGUGUAGCGGUGAAAUGCGUAGAUAUAUGGAGGAACACCGGUGGCGAAAGCGGCUCUCUGGUCUGUAACUGACGCUGAGGCUCGAAAGCGUGGGGAGCGAACAGGAUUAGAUACCCUGGUAGUCCACGCCGUAAACGAUGAGUGCUAGGUGUUGGGUCCUUUCCGGGGCUCAGUGCCGCAGCUAACGCAUUAAGCACUCCGCCUGGGGAGUACGACACGCAAGGUUG